rnacentral:lncRNA from 1 species
UUGUGCCCAGAGUUUGAUUUUCCACAGACCAGGUAGAGGCCAAGAGCCUCUCACAGACUCUGCAGCAGGGUUGCUAUGAUUAACUCUUAAGUACUCCACAACUACACGCUUUUGAAACUGGCGUUGGCAUAGCGUUAGUUCUGUGCAGGGCGGACGCAGCAGGACAGAAUCUCCCUGGGCAUCUUUUCGGAGCAUCAAUUUUACUGCAAAAUUUUGAAAAAACAAAUUUAAUUGAUUUCCAAGGUUUGUCAAGGAGGACAGAAACUCAGAGCACCCUGCACUUGGGGAUCGGCACUAGGAGCUGCUCUCUGGAUGGGGAGAUGGGAGCUAGCAGCUCACAAUGGGGUCACAAGACAGGAGUGUUAUUGGGAGAAUCCUGUUUUGUUGACAAAUACUGAGAUCAUCCAACUCACCAGGCAAAGUUGACUUGUGUAAGUGAUCUUCAGAUAUGAAAAGUGUGGAACCCAGCUGCUCCUCCUCAGAUAGGCGACAUGACAAUUGUAGGCCUGGAGGGAGAUGAGUUGACAACAUCCCUUCCCUAUAACCACUUGUUGGAUCUGAUCUCACAUACACAGACUCACUCCAAAGACUGACCUGGGUGUCUGCUUCUCAGCUUCAUUAACAGUGGGUGCUCACAAGUCUAGUGGAGAGAAUGUCUGAGAAGAGGAGGACCUUGACUGCUCCUGAACCGGAGACCUCAGAACCAUGGUGCUCUCCUGUCCAGGCUGAACACUAAUGCUCUUGAGAGUCACAUUGAAGAAAGCCAACAUUUUUAAAUCUAAUGGAUACAUUCAUUUUGUGGUAUGUGAUGUUUAGAAAGAGGGAGCUAAAGUUAGUGGUCAUGAGCUAAAUACCCUGUGAGUAGUAACAGGAUCUUCUACACUGUAGCUGCUUCCAGUGUGAGCCAGACAAAUGUACUGAAUAUAGGCCUCAGAGGUGAUCCCACCACCUUCACAGCAAUGGUCCUUCCCCAGGAGCUUCCCCUGAGAAACGGGCCAUCCAGACCAUACUGCUGCUGAAUAAUGUCUCAUUGGAAAUCUCAACAUUCUUCAUUUAGAACACCACCGCCAAUAUCUACCAUAUGCCGGGAUUAUUGUGCAGG